AUGUCUGAGCAAUAUUACUUGUACUCAAAACUCACCCCCUGCCUCGAGGGUGCAGCACAGAGGGUGUGGGUAUGGGCUGUGCCAUACAGGUGUGUGCCAUGCCCCUGCCCCAUGGUGCUGCCCCUCAGGCCCUGGCUGUGCCACAGGGUGUGGCAGGGGCUGGUUUUCUGUGUGUUUGAGCUGUUCUGGGUUCCCCCUGAGAGCCUCACCUGUGGUGUCAGUGCAAGCCUCACUGGCUGGUGCCCCAGCAGGGCUGGGCACUGCACAGGAGCCCUGCAGGACGUGGCUUUGCAGCAGUGAGGCUCCCCCAGCUCCCAGGCAAAGGCUGCUCCCCACUCUCACUGUGCUCGUGGCAGAAACCUUCCUUCAGCUGUGGUGACAAACCCAGCUGUGUUUACAAGGGCCAAAAGUUCAACAGGGAGCCUUUAGCCCACCCUAAAACCACCUGGCCAGGCUGCCUUGAGCCCAGCCAGAGCCCUCAGGGAACCAUGAGAGCCUUGAAAACAGGGAAAUGCUGUGACUCAGACAUCAGGACAACAGUGAUCCCUGAGCAGGGAGCUGCUUCACUGGGGAACCAAUGGAAUUGAUACUUGACUUUUGCUUUUUAAUAGUAUUUUCAACAUAGCACAUAGAAUGUAAGGUAGGGAAAUUCCUGUGGUGCUGGAUCUCGUGUCACAGCCUCAGGAAGCCAUUUGUGCCAAGCUGGCAUGGCUCACAGAGAGGUGAAACAAAUCAAAUAACUCUGAAAUCUGUGCAAACUUGAGCUAGGACUGAACAGUGGGAACACUCCAGUGCAGCGGGGUUAUUUUUUAACAAGUGAUUGGUUUCCACACCAGUCUUGCCUGGAAGUCUGAUUUGCAGAGGAAUUUGUAUGAUAAGUUUAAAUCUAGCCCUGUUCUGGGAAGCUCUUAAGCAUAGACUUUAAAUAGGCACAUACUUCACUGUUGUUAAAGUGUUUAUUCUGGUGAACAAUUGGUGAACAUCCCUCGGGUGCUGUUCCUGAACAGGGGGCUCAUGAGAGCUCUCCCUCCAAUGUGCUUUUACAGAAAUAGCAAUACUGAAGAAGACUUGGUGUUACUGAUCUGGGCACACUUCUUGGAAGAGUCUGCAAGUGUUGGGGGGAGAUACCCCCUCUGUGUUGGAUUAUUUAAUACUUCAGACUCUGGUGCUUUUCAAAAAAAACAAAUCACUACAUUUCUGUAGCCAUGGUUUACCCAAGGGAAUAUGUGUUGUUUUUUAUGGUAGAUGUUAUUUUUCUUUAAGGUUACGAAUAGGUUAUUUAUAUUUUUGUAAAUUCUGUGCCAUUACCGUUGUAAUUCUGCUGUAGCAUUAUUUCUGUUGGGUUUGGGGUGUUGUCUGUGUUCAAAUCAAGCAGAAGCUGACACUCCUGCCCCCCUGUUAGUGGCAGGGGUUUGGUCCCUCACAUUCCUCCAGACCUGGUGCUCUUGAGUGAUGUGUGUUUGUAGUUCAAUAAAUUUUGGUGCCAGACAAGGUGACGCUUGGUG
rnacentral:lncRNA from 1 species